rnacentral:rRNA from 1 species
CUACGGGGGGCUGCAGUGGGGGAUAUUGCACAAUGGGCGAAAGCCUGAUGCAGCAACGCCGCGUGAAGGAUGACGGAUUUCGGUCUGUAAACUUCUAUCAGCAGGGAAGAAAAUGACGGUACCUGACUAAGAAGCCCCGGCUAACUACGUGCCAGCAGCCGCGGUAAUACGUAGGGGGCAAGCGUUAUCCGGAAUUACUGGGUGUAAAGGGUACGUAGGCGGCUGAUCAAGUCAGAUGUGAAAGCCCGGAGCUCAACUCCGGGAUUGCAUUUGAAACUGGUCGGCUAGAGUGCAGGGGAGGAAAGUGGAAUUCCUAGUGUAGCGGUGAAAUGCGUAGAUAUUAGGAAGAACACCAGUGGCGAAGGCGGCUUUCUGGACUGUAACUGACGCUGAGGUACGAAAGCGUGGGGAGCGAACAGGAUUGAUACCCCCGUAGUC